rnacentral:rRNA from 1 species
AUUGAACGCUGGCGGCAUGCUUUACACAUGCAAGUCGAACGGUAGAGGGGGCAACCCCUUGAGAGUGGCGAACGGGUGAGUAAUGCAUCGGAACGUGCCCAGUCGUGGGGGAUAACGCAGCGAAAGCUGUGCUAAUACCGCAUACGAUCUCUGGAUGACAGCGGGGGACCGAAAGGCCUUGCGCGAUUGGAGCGGCCGAUGGCAGAUUAGGUAGUUGGUGGGGUAAAGGCUCACCAAGCCAACGAUCUGUAGCUGGUCUGAGAGGACGACCAGCCACACUGGGACUGAGACACGGCCCAGACUCCUACGGGAGGCAGCAGUGGGGAAUUUUGGACAAUGGGCGCAAGCCUGAUCCAGCAAUGCCGCGUGCAGGAAGAAGGCCUUCGGGUUGUAAACUGCUUUUGUACGGAACGAAAAGGUCUGGGUUAAUACCCUGGGCACAUGACGGUACCGUAAGAAUAAGCACCGGCUAACUACGUGCCAGCCGCCGCAGUAA